AUACAACAGCCAUGAUUUACUUGAUCUUGAUUAUCUAAAUGGAUAACUGUGGAAAAGCUAGAGCUAAUACAUGCACCAAAGCUUUGUCCUCUCGGAAAAGCGCAUUUAUUAGAACAAAACCACGCGGCUUCGGCUGCUUCUUGUUGACUCAGAAUAACUAAGCUGACCGCAUGGCCUUGUGCCGGCGGCGUGUCUUUCAAGCGUCCACUUUAUCAACUUGACGGGAGCAUAAUCGACUCCCGUGGUGGUGACGGAUAACGGAGGAUCAGGGUUCGACUCCGGAGAAGGGGCCUGAGAAAUGGCCACUACGUCUAAGGAUGGCAGCAGGCGCGCAAAUUACCCACUCUCGGCUCGAGGAGGUAGUGACGAGAAAUAACGAGACUGUUCUCUUUGAGGCCGGUCAUCGGAAUGGGUACAAUUUAAACCCUUUAACGAGUAUCAAGCAGAGGGCAAGUCUGGUGCCAGCAGCCGCGGUAAUUCCAGCUCUGCUAAUACAUAGAAUUAUUGCUGCGGUUAAAAAGCUCGUAGUUGGAUUCGUAUCGGUACCCUGGAACCCUUCGGGUGUUUCUGGGUGUUAUCGAUUUAUCGUAAUGUUCGGUUUUGAGUCCUUAACAGGAUUUUUAACAGUCAUUGCAAGUUUACUUUGAACAAAUCAGAGUGCUUCAAACAGGCGUUUUCGCUUGAAUGAUCGUGCAUGGAAUAAUAGAAAACGAUUUCGGUUCAGUUUUAUUGGUUUUACGGACUGAGAUAAUGGUUAACAGAGACAAACGGGGGCAUUUGUAUGGCCCCGUGAGAGGUGAAAUUCUUGGACCGUGGCCGGACAAACUACAGCGAAAGCAUUUGCCAAGAAUGUCUUCAUUAAUCAAGAACGAAAGUCAGAGGUUCGAGGGCGAUC
rnacentral:rRNA from 1 species